GGAGAGCACCAGGGGCGGUGAAGAGAAGCUCACGGAGAGCACGUCUGUUGGUCUCAACGUUCUCGACGUUGAUGCUCGCAAGACGCUUUCCGAUGGUACCGGUGGACUCAUCGGCGGCGAGAAUACCCUUCCCGGGUGUUCCGAUGUAGGCAGCGUUAGCGAUCAACUCAUCUGCACACAAACGGAACAAAUCAUAGAAUCUUGCCAAAAGCUUUCGAGCUCAGGCUUAUAUCUUGUUGUAAACGCUCAUACGCAAAUUCGGAAUAUCCGAUGUAGGCAGCGUUAGCGAUCAACUCAUCUGCACACAAACGGAACAAAUCAGUACGAGAAAACAACUGAAAACCUUCAGAUCGAGAAUACAAUUUGAUUCGAUCGUUCACUAUAGAGAUUCAGUUUCGAUCCACAGAGCAAGCAACAGUAACGCACAAGCAAUCACUAAUCGGAACAAAUCACUACGAUAUUGAAAAUAAUUUGAGUAGAUCGUUCACUAUUAAUAUACAUAGUCAGAUCUACGCUAGUUUC
rnacentral:lncRNA from 1 species